GACGAACGCUGGCGGCGUGCUUAACACAUGCAAGUCGAACGGAAAGGCCCUGCUUUUGUGGGGUGCUCGAGUGGCGAACGGGUGAGUAACACGUGAGUAACCUGCCCUUGACUUUGGGAUAACUUCAGGAAACUGGGGCUAAUACCGGAUAGGAGCUCUUGCUGCAUGGUGGGGGUUGGAAAGUUUCGGCGGUUGGGGAUGGACUCGCGGCUUAUCAGCUUGUUGGUGGGGUAGUGGCUUACCAAGGCUUUGACGGGUAGCCGGCCUGAGAGGGGGACCGGGCACAAUGGGACUGAGAGACGGCGCAGACGGGUACGGGAGGCAGCAGGGGGGAAUAUUGCACAAUGGGCGGAAGCCUGAUGCGGCAACGCCGCGUGCGGGAUGACGGCCUUCGAGUUGUAAACCGCUUUCGCCUGUGACGAAGCGUGAGUGACGGUAAUGGGUAAAGAAGCACCGGCUAACUACGUG
rnacentral:rRNA from 1 species